rnacentral:ncRNA from 1 species
UAAUACACUUGAAUAAUUUUGACGAGGUUCCAAUUCCGUAACCUGUUGAGUAUCCGUUUGUUAUUAAAUAUGGGCCUCGUGCUCAUCCUGCCAACAGGAACGACCAUAAAGAAGCCGUCGAGAGAUAUCGGAAGAGUUUUCUUUUCUGUUUUAUAGCCGUACUACCAUGGAAGUCUUUCGCAGAGAGAUAUGGUAGAUGGGCUAGAAGAGCAUGACAUAUACUGUUGUGUCGAUAUUUUCUCCUCGGACCUUGAAAAUUUAUGGUGGGGACACGCAAACUUCUCAACAGGCCGUACCAAUAUCCGCAGCUGGUCUCCAAGGUGAAGAGUCUCUAGUCGAUAGAAUAAUGUAGGUAAGGGAAGUCGGCAAAUUAGAUCCGUAACUUCGGGAUAAGGAUUGGCUCUGAAGAUUGAGAUAGUCGGGCUUGAUUGGGAAACAAUAACAUGGUUUAUGUGCUCGUUCUGGGUAAAUAGAGUUUCUAGCAUUUAUGUUAGUUACUUGUUCCCCGGAUAGUUUAGUUACGUAGCCAAUUGUGGAACUUUCUUGCUAAAAUUUUUAAGAAUACUAUUUGGGUUAAACCAAUUAGUUCUUAUCAAUUAUAACGAUUAUCAAUUAACAAUCAAUUCAGAACUGGCACGGACUUGGGGAAUCCGACUGUCUAAUUAAAACAAAGCAUUGUGAUGGCCCUAGCGGGUGUUGACACAAUGUGAUUUCUGCCCAGUGCUCUGAAUGUCAAAGUGAAGAAAUUCAAGUAAGCGCGGGUCAACGGCGGGAGUAACUAUGACUCUCUUAAGGUAGCCAAAUGCCUCGUCAUCUAAUUAGUGACGCGCAUGAAUGGAUUAACGACGGACGUGUUUUCGUUGCGCUCGUGUACAGAUUGCGAAGAACUUUGUUUUCCGU